UAGGGAAUCUUCCGCAAUGGACGAAAGUCUGACGGAGCAACGCCGCGUGAGUGAUGAAGGCUUUCGGGUCGUAAAACUCUGUUGUUAGGGAAGAACAAGUACGAGAGUAACUGCUCGUACCUUGACGGUACCUAACCAGAAAGCCACGGCUAACUACGUGCCAGCAGCCGCGGUAAUACGUAGGUGGCAAGCGUUAUCCGGAAUUAUUGGGCGUAAAGCGCGCGCAGGCGGUUUCGUAAGUCUGAUGUGAAAGCCAACGGCUCAACCGUGGAGGGUCAUUGGAAACUGGGGAACUUGAGUGCAGAAGAGAAAAGCGGAAUUCCACGUGUAGCGGUGAAAUGCGUAGAGAUGUGGAGGAACACCAGUGGCGAAGGCGGCUUUUUGGUCUGUAACUGACGCUGAGGCGCGAAAGCGUGGGGAGCAAACA
rnacentral:rRNA from 1 species